rnacentral:lncRNA from 1 species
CUCGCCUGUUCGAAGGUUAAACCGAGGUAUGAAUUUAGAAUUUGGAAUUCUAAUUAAGUUUUGUAGUAUUGAGUUCGUUUCGAGGACGAAACACUUUUAAGGUGGGAAGGAUGUUAGGAAGUGAAUUCUCGAAACUCGAGGAUUAGACUUCGAUUAGAAUCGACUAGUUGUCGAGUGCGUAGGCUUCGGAAAGUCCGAAGGUGAUUAUGAUGCAUAAAGUGCAUUAAGGAAGGGUC